rnacentral:rRNA from 1 species
AUGCAGGCGUCAGGUGGCUGCUUGACGGCGCCGGAGGACGGACUCAGCACAACCUGCCCUUGGAACCCCCGCGUGAGGAGCACCGGCUUUUUCCACCAGACCGUCUUUAGCAUGCUUGUGAGCCGCGCUAGGGCAUUCAUCAAGGAGGUCCGGCGGUUGCAUGAUCUAAACCCCGGGUCUCUCUGUGGCAUCGACCUUUACAACGGCAUCCUAAUGCGCUAUGUCAAGUCAUCCACCGCGUACCUCGGUAAGUCGGCAGUGCGCGGGCAGUCGGCCGACAUGGUGGAGUUCGACAUGACCUACUACCGCAGCCGCGACCCAAGGAGGGCGCGCCUCUACGAGGACGUCCUUGAGGAGAUCGAGCAGAUGGGGCUAUUCAAGUACGGCGGGCUGCCACACUGGGGCAAGAAUCGCAAUGUCGCUUUCGUCGGCGCCUCGCGCAAAUACCCCAAAAUGCGCGACUUCCUGCUUGUCAAGGACGCCUACGACCGGGAUGACCUCUUCUCCAGCGAUUGGAGUGACAUGAUGCUCGGCAUUGGUGGUGACACACCGACGAACAUCGCACCUGGGUGCGCGCCAGAAGGAAUGUGCGUGUGCUCGCAGGAUGUGCACUGCGCGCUGGAACAAGGGUACGUCUGCAGGCCCGGCAGGGUCUACAUGAAUGCCAGAGUCUGCACCAAAGUGUAG